GACGAACGCUGGCGGCGUGCCUAAUACAUGCAAGUCGAGCGCAGGAAGUCGACGGAACCCUUCGGGGGGAAGUCGACGGAAUGAGCGGCGGACGGGUGAGUAACACGUAAAGAACCUGCCCUCAGGUCUGGGAUAACCACGAGAAAUCGGGGCUAAUACCGGAUGGGUCAUCGGACCGCAUGGUCCGAGGAUGAGAGGCGCUCCGGCGUCGCCUGGGGAUGGCUUUGCGGUGCAUUAGCUAGUUGGUGGGGUAAUGGCCCACCAAGGCGACGAUGCAUAGCCGACCUGAGAGGGUGAUCGGCCACACUGGGACUGAGACACGGCCCAGACUCCUACGGGAGGCAGCAGUAGGGAAUCUUCCACAAUGGACGAAAGUCUGAUGGAGCAACGCCGCGUGAACGAUGAAGGCCUUCGGGUCGUAAAGUUCUGUUGUAAGGGAAGAACAAGUGCCGCAGGCAAUGGCGGCACCUUGACGAUACCUUGCGAGAAAGCCACGGCUAACUACGUGCCAGCCGCCGCCGUAAUAC
rnacentral:rRNA from 1 species